rnacentral:tRNA from 1 species
GUGGGUAUAGCUCAGUUGGUCAGAGCAUCGGAUUGUGGUUCCGAGGGUCGAGGGUUCAAGUCCCUUUACCCACCCCA